GGUUCAUUGCUCAACUAAAUGCUUUUAAAUUUAAUUCGGCUGAAGUUUUUCUUUUAUCAUACUUAGAAGGACAGUUCUGAAAGCUAGAUGUCGGAAAUCAAGGAGUCACUAAGAUGAUGUCAGAAGUGGGAUCCAAAGUAGAGGUUCUAACGACCCCCAAGAACACUGAGUGACCAAACAAGGUACCUGCUGGACUCACUUGUGUCUGCUGAUCUUUCAGGGCAGCUGGGGAUUGUGGGCAGUUGCACAACCUGGAGGCUGGCAUCAUGGGGUCAUUUAGGAUUGAAUCUGAAGGAGCCGCUGUGGUGGAAAUGAAAUCCCUGCACAAAAGAAGCUGGGGCUGAACUAUCAUAUUCUCCUGGAAGUAGUGGGAGAUCGGCAGUGUUGCGGAUGCUGAGCACUCCGUAAGCCAAGAUCCUUGAAGGAAAACCAUGGUAGAAGCAAUGAACCAAAAGUAAAAUUUUGUUGUUUAAAGACACAGGCUUUGUUGCUACUGAUACUGCAUAAUCACCUAGCCUUCCCUGACUGAAAAACCAGCAGCUGAGCCACACAAAGGACAUGUUUGACAGAUAAAGAACACUGAUGCCAAGGUCUGAAAUAAAUUUUUUAGCAUUAACAUCUGUGUCUGUGCAAAGCUCUUGGCUGCUUUCUUCAUUUGAUGCUUGGAUGGGUCUGUUAGAUCUGUUGACUCCACUGCUAACCAUGCUAAUAUCUGUUUAGCAGGCUCUGGUGACCUGCCCACAAAAUCAGACAUUGAUUAAACUAUUUUAAAAGUCCUA
rnacentral:lncRNA from 10 species